rnacentral:rRNA from 1 species
UACGGAGGGUGCAAGCGUUAUCCGGAUUCACUGGGUUGAAAGGGUGCGUAGGCGGGCAGGUAAGUCCGUGGUGAAAUCUCUGAGCUUAGCUCAGAAACUGCCAUGGAUACUAUUUGUCUUGAAUAUUGUGGAGGUGAGCGGAAUAUGUCAUGUAGCGGUGAAAUGCUUAGAUAUGACAUAGAACACCAAUUGCGAAGGCAGCUCACUACACAGUCAUUGACGCUGAGGCACGAAAGCGUGGGGAUCAAACAGG